GGGGAAUUUUGGACAAUGGGGGCAACCCUGAUCCAGCCAUGCCGCGUGAGUGAAGAAGGCCUUCGGGUUGUAAAGCUCUUUCGGACGGAAAGAAAUCACCGCCUCUAACAUAGGCGGUGGAUGACGGUACCGUAAGAAGAAGCACCGGCUAACUACGUGCCAGCAGCCGCGGUAAUACGUAGGGUGCGAGCGUUAAUCGGAAUUACUGGGCGUAAAGCGUGCGCAGGCGGUUUGGUAAGACAGGUGUGAAAUCCCCGGGCUUAACCUGGGAACUGGGCUUGGGGAUGCCAGGGUAGAGUAAGGCAGAGGGGGGUGGAAUUCCACGGGGAGCAGUGAAAAGCGGAGAGAUGGGGAGGAAAAACGAUGGCGAAGGCAGCCCCCUGGGCCUGUACUGACGCUCAUGCACGAAAGCGUGGGGAGCAAACA
rnacentral:rRNA from 1 species